CGAAAGCCUGACGGAGCAACGCCGCGUGAGGGAGGAAGGCUCUUGGGUUGUAAACCUCUUUUCUCAAGGAAGAUAAUGACGGUACUUGAGGAAUCAGCAUCGGCUAACUCCGUGCCAGCAGCCGCGGUAAUACGGAGGAUGCAAGCGUUAUCCGGAAUAAUUGGGCGUAAAGCGUUCGUAGGUGGUUCUGUAAGUCUGCUGUUAAAGCGUGUAGCUCAACUACAUAUAGGCGGUGGAAACUACAAAACUUGAGUGCGUUCGGGGUAGAGGGAAUUCCUGGUGUAGCGGUGAAAUGCGUAGAGAUCAGGAAGAACACCGGUGGCGAAGGCGCUCUACUAGACCGCAACUGACACUGAGGGACGAAAGCUAGGGGAGCG
rnacentral:rRNA from 1 species